rnacentral:lncRNA from 1 species
UAUGUUUGAGGGGGACUAACGUCAGGGAAGCCCUCCCUAAGGAGUCACAUCAAAGGGUGAACAGCAGUUGCCAAAGCCCUGAGGUUAAAAAAGCUUGAUCUGACCCCAGGUUGACUCAAGACCAGCAUGGAUAAAAUCCAAGGACAGGUUGUAGCUCUGGGCAGAUUCCACAUCCCAAAGACUCCUAAGGAGCUUAAUGAUAACAGUCAC